GUUUUGUAAUCCUGCUGUAUUGUUGCUCAAAUAUGUUUCUGCAGAGAUAUUAAUCCUGCUCUCAAUUAAAUUAUUUAAGACUACUUUGAAGGCUACUUUGAAGACUUCUGGAGUUGCUCCUCCUCUUAUACAGCAUGAAAGCAUUGAAGAGUGUUAAAGGUGAUGAUUUAUGGAACAGCUUCCACAUGAUGAAAGAAAUAUGAUCUUCAACCUGCAGAAGAAUCAACUGAAGAAGAGUAUGAUAGAGAUCUACAGGACUGGGAAGGCAAUGAAAAAGUGGAAAAUGACAGUGCACUCCUCACAGAUGAAUAAUGAUCUCCUGCUGACUGUCAUGUCUGUCUGAAGAACAAGAAAUGUGAUGAAGCUGACUGACCCUGUGGCACCUCUUUUCUCUAGAGCACAUAUCAUGGAUAUUCAGGGUAAAUACCUAGAGCAGAAAAAUUAAAAUGGUAUCACAAUUAACCUACUUUUUCCCUGUGUGUAACCCUACCAGUUCUGUCCUAAGACAGGAGUUUGAGAUUUUGGAUAUCUGCCUACUAUGUAAUAAGACCCCUGGCCACCUCUAGCUUCAUGUGCAUGCAUGUACAGCAGCUCUGUGUGUUAGGCUUUUUUUUUUUUUUUGUACAGCCAAAAUUAUGGGCUUGCCAUCACAGUGAAGAUAAUAAGAACUGACUGUCCUAAAUUAGACUUGUAUUCUUACUGCUUUUUUGGGAAUGUCAUUCCCAUCCCUCAGAAACAGCCCACAUUCUGUUCCUGGUUACUCGACAUCAGCAUUGGGGUAGAUGUGUCCCAAGUGCAAUGGCCUCCCAAACAUCUACAGCAAUGCAUUGAUGAAUGCUGUUGUUAAUGUCAGCUGUCUGGAACCUCUCUCUCCCCAAUAGUUCCUGUGCUAUGAUCCCACAGUAGGUGGCUGGAUGCAUCCCUUCUUCUUGUUGCAGAUGGAAGAUCUUGCUCGUAUGCAAACCCUGCUCCCUGUGCAGCUUGGUUGAGGGCAUUCUUUGAAGAUAAAACAAGCCUGUUUUCCUCCAUCAAACUAAAAAAUACCAUUGCAACAUGGCAGCCCUGAGGUUCCUUCAGCACCAUUAUCCAGUAGCUUGUUAGAAGUCCUCAUUUGUAUUACAGUAGCCUUCUGUUGGCCACUGGUGUAUCAGCUGUAGUUAUACUUCUCCAUCUUCUAAAAGCUUUCCAAACUCAGCUUCCUCCCUGCCCCAGGAUGUAGUAGAGUUUUUUGUUGUCUUUAGAUAUAAGCCCAAAAGACUGCUCUCUGAAGCUUUGUUUAGACCAUAAACCAACAUUUCAACUCUGUCUGGUCACUAGAGGACCAGCAGUCAGGAUGCAGCCUGCCUGGUCCAAUCACUCCUCCACAUGAUAUCCAGAGUAGUAGGUUUAUUCUGUUAACUUGUGGUUUGAGCUUUCUUUCUCUUUCUCUCUCUUUUUUUUUUUUUUUUUUUUUCUCUCUCUUUUUUUUUUUUUUUUUCCUCCAUAAAAGUAGAAACAGCUAUUUAAUAAAUAUCCAAGUGAGUUCUAGCUUUAAGGAUGA
rnacentral:lncRNA from 1 species